UACAGAGGGGGCCAGCGUUAUUCGGAAUUACUGGGCGUAAAGCGUGCGCAGGCGGUUUUGUAAGUCAGAUGUGAAAUCCCCGGGCUUAACCUGGGAACUGCGUUUGAAACUACAAGGCUAGAGUGUGACAGAGGGGGGUGGAAUUCCACGUGUAGCAGUGAAAUGCGUAGAGAUGUGGAGGAACACCGAUGGCGAAGGCAGCCCCCUGGGUUAACACUGACGCUCAGGCACGAAAGCGUGGGGAGCAAACAGG
rnacentral:rRNA from 1 species